AUACGUAGGUGGCGAGCGUUGUCCGGAAUUACUGGGUGUAAAGGGCGUGUAGGCGGGUAUGCAAGUCAGAUGUGAAAUACCGGGGCUCAACCCCGGGGCUGCAUUUGAAACUGUGUAUCUUGAGUGCAGGAGAGGAAAGUGGAAUUCCUAGUGUAGCGGUGGAAUGCGACGAUAUUUGGAGGAACACCAGUGGCGAAGGCGCAUUUCAGACCUGUAACUGGCACGGAGGCGGGAAGGCGUGGGGAGCGAACAGGAUUAAAUACACGGGUUGUCCACGCCGUAAACGAUGGAUACUAGGUGUAGGAGGUAUCGACCCCUUCUGUGCCGGAGUUAACACAAUAAGUAUCCCACCUGGGGAGUACGGCCGCAAGGUUGAAACUUAAAGGAAUUGACGGGG
rnacentral:rRNA from 1 species